rnacentral:piRNA from 1 species
UGGCCACCCCGAGCUUUUUCACCAG